GGUCUAAUAGUGUAGAGGUUAUCACACGGGAUUCUGAUAUGGGGGAUAUCACAUCUAGAAUUCCCGUGACCCAGGUUCGAGUCCUGGUUAGACCU